GCAUUCACAUCACCCAGUAUGAUGAUGCAAACGCUCUAUGUUAUAGGAGAUGCACUCGGAACAUCUGAAAAAAGUUAUCAGAUUUGGGGGUAUAGCUCAGUGGUAGAGCAUUUGACUGCAGAUCAAGAGGUCCCCAUUUCAAAUCUGGGUGCCCCCUCUUUAAAUACCUUCUUAGACCGCAUAGGAUAUGGAAAUUAUUCUACUAUUGAGUAUUUGUGUCAAGCAACAGGUGUUGCAAAAACUGUAAACCAAUAGCAACUGAGCAUUGUUUCUGGAUGUUGGAUUCAGUAGAAAAUUAUAGUUUAGUUUAAGAAUCUUCUCAGAAAAUGCCAGCUUGUCUAUAGAGGACACAGCAUUGCACUAUUAAAGGCAUUCACAUCACCCAGUAUGAUGAUGCAAACGCUCUAUGUUAUAGGAGAUGCACUCUGAACAUCUGAAAAAAGUUAUCAGAUUUGGGGGUAUAGCUC
ensembl:lncRNA